AAUUUAAUAGUUUAAAAAAAACGCUGGUUUUGUAAACCGUAAAUAGAUUAUUCUUUAAAUUA
rnacentral:tRNA from 1 species